rnacentral:rRNA from 1 species
CGCCAAAUAGCUAGCCCUAACCCCAACCCCAACAAUACACAAUUUAUAACCCCUAAUACACCACAAACACCAAAUCAAAUCAUUUUAUUUUCCCCAGUAUAGGCGAUAGAAAAGGAACCUUAGAGCUACAGAAAAAGUACCGCAAGGGAACGCUGAAAGAGAGAUGAAAAGACCAGUAAAGCCUAAAAAAGCAGAGAUUUCUCCUCGUACCUUUUGCAUCAUGAUUUAGCCAGUACCGUUAAGCAAAGAGCCCUUUAGUUUAACACCCCGAAACUAGCGUGAGCUACUCCAAGACAGCCUAUUACAGGGCAAACCCGUCUCUGUUGCAAAAGAGUGGGAAGAGCUUCGAGUAGAGGUGACAGACCUAUCGAACCUAGUUAUAGCUGGUUGCCUGUGAAACGGAUAAAAGUUCAGCCUCCUGGCUUCUCAAUUCAUCUCAAAACAAAUGACUCAACGAUAUUUAAAGAAACCAAGAGAGUUAAUCAAAGGGGGGACAGCUCCUUUGAUACAAGACACAACUUUUUUAAGAGGGUAAAGAUCAUAUUUUUAAAGGUAAAAUGUCUCAGUGGGCCUAAGAGCAGCCACCCAAAAGAAAGCGUUAAAGCUCAGACUUAAUAAAUACAACCAUAUAUCCUGAUAUCAGAAUCUUAUCCCCCUAGCCAUUAACAGGCCGUUCCAUGCCAACAUGGAAGUGAUAAUGCUAAAAUGAGUAAUAAGAGAGUCCAGACUCUCUCCAAGCACACGUGUACAUCGGAAAGGACCAACCACCGAAAAUUAACGUCCCCAAAAAAAGAGGGCAUUGGAUCUUCUAGCAAACUACAAGAAAAUAAUCCACAAUAACACCGUUAACCCUACACAGGUGUGCAUUUAAGGAAAGACUAAAAGAAAGAGAAGGAACUCGGCAAAGAUAAGCCUCGCCUGUUUACCAAAAACAUCGCCUCUUGCAAAAUUAAAGAAUAAGAGGUCUUACCUGCCCAGUGACACUCGUUUAACGGCCGCGGUAUCCUAACCGUGCAAAGGUAGCGUAAUCAUUUGUCUUUUAAAUAGGGACUAGUAUGAAUGGUGUGACGAGGGCUUAACUGUCUCCUCUCUCCGGUCAAUGAAAUUGAUCUCCCCGUGCAGAAGCGGGGAUAAGCUCAUAAGACGAGAAGACCCUAUGGAGCUUUAGAUACUAAGGUAGACUAGAUUAAAUUACUUCACAACAAAGAACUAAAAUCAUCACCACCCUACCCCUAUAUCUUCGGUUGGGGCGACAAUGGGGAACAAAAAUCCCCCAUGCGGAACGGGAGCAAAACCCUGAAAUAUCACUUUCACUAUCAAACUUCCUCCUCAAAUUAAGAGUGACAACUCUAAGUUACAGUACUUCUGACCACAAAUGAUCCGGCAAUGCCGAUUAACGAACCAAGUUACCCUAGGGAUAACAGCGCAAUCCCCUUUUAGAGCCCGCAUCAACAAGGGGGUUUACGACCUCGAUGUUGGAUCAGGACAUCCUAAUGGUGAAACCGCUAUUAAGGGUUCGUUUGUUCAACGAUUAAAGUCCUACGUGAUCUGAGUUCAGACCGGAGUAAUCCAGGUCAGUUUCUAUCUAUGUAAUAAACUUUUCCAGUACGAAAGGACCGAGAAGAAGAGGCCCAUGCUUACGAUACGCCUCCUCCUUAACUAAUGAAGACAUCUAAAUAAGAUAAAAGGAUAUAAAAUUAAAUUAUGGCCUUAAAGAAAGGC